GUAAUUUGCAAUUAUAACCAAACCUUUCAAUUGAUGCUAUAGUCAACAAAAUAGUACCAAAAGACGAGUAACAAGUAACGUGUACCAGAACUGAGUAACUAUGGGAUACUCAAACAUAGAGUUACUCAUCCAACCAUACUCAUGAAUACUCAAAUUACUUUAUAAGAAUAAGGAUUGCGAGAUAGUUAUAAUCAUAACAAGAGUUCCGUCCAUGAGAGGACUCUCAGACAAAGUAGACUUCUAGUCCCACUCAAUCACAUACUAUUAAUCCUAAAAUAAAUCUGCAUCGAAACCUAUAUAAGAGCCAUCAAGUAUGUGUACUAAUUAGUUUUACUUAUCCAUUCACAAUUCAAUUCCCAUUACUGAUUUAAGCAUCGAAGCAGUAGUUAACUAAUCCACCCGAUAUUCUCUUUAGCAUCUUGCAGAUCCAACACCCAAAUCCAACAUUCCAUAAUCCGUAAAAGAGGAGAACAACAUCAUUGGUGUCUAUGGUAAAGAUUACCUCAAUAAUCUUUCUCUCAUCACAACAAAUUCUGUGAUUUUUGUUUCUCUCCUUUGCCAAAACCACCAUGGCCUCAAAUUUGAAAAUAUGUACACAGAUAAGAAACAAAGAUGGUAAUAUCAUUUGUAUCCUAACAGUCCCCCUCAAGCUGAGGGCGGAAGAGAUAGAAGCCGAAGCUUACCUUUAUGCUUGUCAUACGAACAACGACCAAGUGUUUUAAUUAGGAUGUCUGCAAGUUGAUCGUUAGAAGCAAUGAAUCAAAUUUGAAUAGCACCAUUAUGCACUUGUUCAUGAACAAAAUGGUAAUCCAAUUCAAUAUGUUUCGUUCGGGCAUGAAAACAGGAUUAGCACUAAGAUAAAUUGCACCUAUAUUAUCACGCCAUAAGAUUGCAGGUGUGGCAAAGGCAAAACCAAGUUCCUGAAGCAAGCUAUUGAGCCAUAAAAUCUCUACUGUUGCAUUGGCCAAACCUUUAUACUCACUUUUUAUGGAAGAAUGAGUAACGGUUGGUUGCUUCUUAGCCAUCCAAGAAAUUAAAUUCUGACCCAAAUAAACUGCAUAUCCAUUGGUUGAUCGACGAUCAUCUGGAUCACCACCCCAAUCACAUCACGAAGAAUGAAAAGAGAGGUAUCAGCUUUGGAUGAUUGGAAGCCAAGAUCAAGAAGAAAAGAUGUCAGUCGAUGAUACCAAGCACAGGGAGCUUGUUUUAAGCCAUACAAAGAUUGGUGUAAGCGGCAGACAUAAUUUGGAUGUGUAGGAUCAACAAAUCCUUAUGGUUGUGUCAUAUAGAUUUCAUGCUCAAGAAAGCCAAGUAGAAGGGCAUUCGAUAUGUCCAAUUGACUAGUAGGCCAAUGAUGCACUGUAGCAAUUGAAAGAACUAUUCAGAUGGUAGCCAUUUUAACCACAGGACUAAAAGUCUUUGCAUGGUCCACGCCAUCUUGCUGUGUAUAGCCUUUGGCCACCAAACGAGCCUUAAAGCAAUCAAUCGUCCUAUCAGCCUUCCGUUUAAUUUUGUAAAUCCACUUGUUACCCAUAAUAUUUUUAUCAAGUGGCUUUGCUACCAAGGUCCAGGUUUUGUUCUGUAAGUAAUGCAUUUAUCUUAGAUGACGUAGCUUCACGCCACUCAACAUAUGGUUGGCCUUGAAGAAAGGUUGGGUUCGGUACAGAGAUAAUCAAUAUUAUGGAGGGCUAGAUUUUCAUGUUGGUUGUGCAUGGUGGACACAUGAAGACACAAGGAUAAGUACGAAGAGAAUCAGUUGCCGUAGAAGUAGGCGGUUGUGAUUGUUGGGAUAUGGUGGAAUAUUUGGAUAAGUCAACUAAUAAAUUUAGAUUAGAUGCUGGGUUUUUAGUUGAUACAAGAGAUAAAUUCACAGGCAUUGAGGAUGAGGGCGGAAGAGAAGAUAUUGGUAAAAUAAAAUUAUCCAAAAUAUUUUGGAUAGAGAUGGUUG
rnacentral:misc_RNA from 1 species